UGGGGAAUUUUGGACAAUGGGCGCAAGCCUGAUCCGGCCAUGCCGCGUGCGGGAAGAAGGCCUUCGGGUUGUAAACCGCUUUUGUCAGGGAAGAAAAGCUACGGGCUAAUAGCCCGGAGUCAUGACGGUACCUGAAGAAUAAGCACCGGCUAACUACGUGCCAGCAGCCGCGGUAAUACGUAGGGUGCAAGCGUUAAUCGGAAUUACUGGGCGUAAAGCGUGCGCAGGCGGUCGUGUAAGACAGAUGUGAAAUCCCCGGGCUCAACCUGGGAACUGCAUUUGUGACUGCACGGCUGGAGUGCGGCAGAGGGGGAUGGAAUUCCGCGUGUAGCAGUGAAAUGCGUAGAUAUGCGGAGGAACACCGAUGGCGAAGGCAAUCCCCUGG
rnacentral:rRNA from 1 species